UACGGAGGGGACUAGCGUUGUUCGGAAUUACUGGGCGUAAAGCGCACGUAGGCGGAUUUGUAAGUCAGGGGUGAAAUCCCGAGGCUCAACCUCGGAACUGCCUUUGAUACUGCAAAUCUCGAGUCCGGAAGAGGUGAGUGGAAUUCCUAGUGUAGAGGUGAAAUUCGUAGAUAUUAGGAAGAACACCAGUGGCGAAGGCGGCUCACUGGUCCGGUACUGACGCUGAGGUGCG
rnacentral:rRNA from 1 species